rnacentral:rRNA from 1 species
AUUGAACGCUGGCGGCAGGCCUAACACAUGCAAGUCGAACGAGUGGCGGACGGGUGAGUAAUGUCUGGGAAACUGCCCGAUGGAGGGGGAUAACUACUGGAAACGGUAGCUAAUACCGCAUACCAUCGGAUGUGCCCAGAGUGGAUUAGCUAGUAGGUGGGGUAACGGCUCACCUAGGCGACGAUCCCUAGCUGGUCUGAGAGGAUGACCAGCCACACUGGAACUGAGACAAGGUCCAGACUCAUACGGGAGGCAGCAGUGGGGAAUAUUGCACAAUGGGCGCAAGCCUGAUGCAGCCAUGCCGCGUGUAUGAAGAAGGCCUUCGGGUUGUAAAGUACGGUCAGCGAGGAGGCGUUACGCGCAGAAGAAGCACCGGCUAACUCCGUGCCAGCAGCCGCGGUAAUUC